rnacentral:rRNA from 1 species
CGGAGGAUCCGAGCGUUAUCCGGAUUUAUUGGGUUUAAAGGGUAGCGUAGGCGGGUUGGUUAAGUCAGUUGUGAAAGUUUAGUCGGCUCAACCGUAAAAUUAGCAGUUGUAUACUGGCGACCUUGAGUGCAACAGAGGUAGGCGGAAUUCGUGGUGUAGCGGUGAAAUGCUUAGAUAUCACGAAGAACUCCGAUUGCGAAGGCAGCUUACUGGAUUGUAACUGACGCUGAUGCUCGAAAGUGUGGGUAUCAAACAGGAUU